rnacentral:snRNA from 1 species
GAGGAGUGGGACAAACUAGCACAGAACCCAUUUCUUGCCUUUUACCAGAGAUGGCCGUGGUUUGCCCACAAUACUCCUCUACUCAAUCUUUGGACCACAACGCUUCGACAUAGCUGUCGAU